UACGUAGGAGACGAGCGUUGUCCGGAUUUAUUGGGCGUAAAGAGCGUGUAGGCGGCCAGGUAGGUCAGCUGUGAAAACUCGAGGCUCAACCUCGAGACGCCGGUUGAAACCAUCUGGCUAGAGUCCGGAAGAGGAGAGUGGAAUUCCUGGUGUAGCGGUGAAAUGCGCAGAUAUCAGGAAGAACACCCGUGGCUAAGGCGGCUCUCUAGUACGGUACUGACGCUGAGACGCGAAAGCGUGGGGAGCGAACAGG
rnacentral:rRNA from 1 species